UGGGGAAUUUUGGACAAUGGGGGCAACCCUGAUCCAGCCAUUCCGCGUGAGUGAAGAAGGCCUUCGGGUUGUAAAGCUCUUUUGUUCGGGACGAAACGGUUAAGGCUAAUAACCUUGACUACUGACGGUACCGGAAGAAUAAGCACCGGCUAACUACGUGCCAGCAGCCGCGGUAAUACGUAGGGUGCGAGCGUUAAUCGGAAUUACUGGGCGUAAAGCGUGCGCAGGCGGUUUUAUAAGCCAGAUGUGA
rnacentral:rRNA from 1 species